GCUAGGUGCAGUGGCAUACGCCUGUAAUCCCAGUGGCUUAGGAGGCUGAGGCAGGAGGAUCUCGAGUUCAAAGCCAGCCUCAGCAAUGGCGAAUUGCUAAGCAACUCAGUGAGAUCCUGUCUCUA
rnacentral:sRNA from 1 species